UCACUUCAUCAAUGUAUACAUUAAAAUUGGAACGCUACAGAGAAGAUAAGCAAGGAUGAUGUGCAAUUUGUGAAGUGUUCCAUAUUUUC
rnacentral:snRNA from 1 species